rnacentral:rRNA from 1 species
GAUGAACGCUGGCGGCGUGCCUAAUACAUGCAAGUCGAGCGAACAGACGAGGAGCUUGCUCCUUUGACGUUAGCGGCGGACGGGUGAGUAACACGUAGGUAACCUACCUAUAAGACUGGGAUAACUUCGGGAAACCGGAGCUAAUACCGGAUAAUAUUUCGAACCGCAUGGUUCUAUAGUGAAAUAUGGCUUUGCUAUCUCUUAUAGAUGUACCUGCUCCGUAUUAGCUAGUUGGUAAGGUAACGGCUUACCAAGGCAACGAUAAGUAGACGACCUGAGAGGGGGAUAGGCAAAACUGGAACUGAGACACGGACCAGACUCCUACGGGAGGAAGCAGUAGGGAAUGUUCCGAAAUGGGCGAAAGCCUGAAGGAGAAACGCCGCGUGAGUGAUGAAGGUCUUCGGAUCGUAAAACUCUGUUAUUAGGGAAGAACAAAAGUGUAAGUAACUGUGCACGUAUUGACGGUACCUAAUCAGAAAGCAACGGCUAACUACGUG